UUGUAGGUAAAGACACCAUUUUAACUAUUGCUUUUAUACCAUUAUUAUUAAAGUAAUCAUUUUAAACAACCACUUUUAACUUGAAUAUGAAAAUGGAAUUCCUUAUAUCUUGUUGGUAAAUAUGUAAGGUUUUGUUUAUUAAGUUUUGAUUUGAAGGAAAUUGAAAUCACUGCCCAAAAUGAGACACCAAAUAUUUUGCGGAAUACGCUAGACGUUCCUUAUAACGCUUUCGUGCCGUACAUGGCAAUAGCGAUGAAUUGAUGGUUGCAGUAAUCAUACGGGGCAUAAGAUUUGUUACACCUGAAGGACAUUAUGAGUACAAAAGGAUGUCGUAUGGAUUAGCCAACCUGCCGGUCGUAGGUAUAUCAGCAAACUAUAUAUUAUUGAGGGGGCAGACACGUGGUGAGAUUAAUAAGAGACUAGAGUUGCUUAUUUUAUUAAAGUUCGCAAGGUCGAGUCAUUUAGUCAAGUCCGAAUUUCUAUAUCGCUCGUACGAGUAGGUAACGUUAGUGCAUGAUAACAUUUUAGUCAUAAUUUAUUAGUUUGUAACCGAUUGUAAUGUUCUGAAAAUGAGAGACUCGUUGAUGGAUAUAUUUACUGGGUUAUAAUUUUCAGUACAGGAAGGAGACUGAUUACUUGAGUCAAAUCCCUGUUAAUAUUUAUACAGAAAAGCCUCUUAAUUGCACUGGGAUAUCGCCUGACUCUGAGACUCAAAAAUUACUCCAGGACUUGCUCACUUUGAACAUUACUAUACAAAAAUAUUUUUUAAUUGGCUUGAUUGGUUUGAUAUGAGUGGUGGUGACUGGUUCUCAAGUGAACCUCUGAUGUGUGGGCACAUUAUUUAAGAAUACCAGCAAACUUCUUGAGCAUUAAACAAGGGAGUGAGGGAAAGGUUGCGCAUCACCCACGUGGUUACAACUGAUUUACCAAUAACGCGAUCGAUACGUCACCCUCCUCCCCCCACCCGUGAUACGAAUCAUGAUACGUGAUAAAAAUCGCAAGGACAUUUGUUCAAGAUGUUUGCCGGUGAUGACGAUUAUUCUUUCCCAGAACAACAACUUUUCGAGGCUAAAAUGCAUGUUAUGCCGGGGUCAUUAUAUGAUCAGCUUUAAUGUUUUAGUCCAUUUGCGGGCGAGAACGCACGAUUGCACACGAUGUUAAUGGCGGCGGUGUCACCAAAGAAACAGAACAGUGCGUUUUUCAUUCCAACGCUUUUGUUAGGGAAAUUUCGACCUGCAGAACAAGCUCCGUGGACGGCCGGAGACCAAAGUUGAUAACGAAGAAAUAAAAUAUUGUGGGAGCGGAUCUAUCAAGCAAACUACGUCUGAAUUACCUGCUGGCUGCGGUGUUGGUGACAAAUCCGUAUUAAUCCACUUGCACGCGCGUCGAGUGCUGCGUUACAUUACUUAACCACAAUAAUGAAGGGAUUUUAAUCGGGAAUUUAAUAAGGGGAUCGAAUCGUUGCCUAUGAUGAAAGUGGAUCCUGUACGAUAACCGGAAGCGCUCAUCGCAACGGCUGAACCAAGCCGACCAACCCAGCCGAACCAGCCAAAUUGUGCACCAAGCUUAAAUUACCCCCAAAAAGUUACUAAGAAGUAUUUGGUGGACUAGUGCCGGGGUCGUUCAUUUAAAUCUGGCCAGACGAUUUUGGCAGAUGUCUAUUGUCAGGAACUGAAAACCAAGAUGGACUACUGCUCCUCGACAACGCUAGACCACAUAUUCAAUUGGAAUGUCUUCUCAGCCAUUCACCGUACACCUCGGACCUUGCUCCAACAGAUUACCAUUUUUUUUUUCGAAAUUUGGAUAACUUCUUGCAAAAUAAGAAAUUCAACCUUGAUGGGACAGUCGAAACCGCCUUCAAAGAUUUAUUUUAUUCCAGUCAGAUUGUUUUCUUUAGUAAAUGGAUCAAUAAACUACCUUUAAGAUAACUA